rnacentral:rRNA from 1 species
CCUACGGGAGGCAGCAGUGAGGAAUAUUGGUCAAUGGUCGGGAGACUGAACCAGCCAAGCCGCGUGAGGGAUGAAGGUACAGAGUAUCGUAAACCUCUUUUGUCAGGGAACAAAGGCGGGGACGUGUCCCCGGAUGAGUGUACCUGAAGAAAAAGCAUCGGCUAACUCCGUGCCAGCAGCCGCGGUAAUACGGAGGAUGCGAGCGUUAUCCGGAUUUAUUGGGUUUAAAGGGUGCGCAGGCGGUCUGUUAAGUCAGCGGUCAAAGCCCGGGGCUCAACCCCGGCCCGCCGUUGAAACUGGCAGUCGCGAGUUGGAGAGAAGUAGGCGGAAUGCGCGGUGUAGCGGUGAAAUGCAUAGAUAUCGCGAAGAACUCCGAUUGCGAAGGCAGCAUGCCGGCUCCACACUGACGCUGAGGCACGAAAGCGUGGGUAUCGAACAGGAUUAGAUACCCGUGUAGUC